UCCACUAUAAAUGAGUGGAUAGCCCUCCCCCACCCAACACACACACACAUAGGCCCUAUAAAUGGUGAGUCACCCCAUUUACAACAUGGUAUUAGAUCGGGACUGAGUCGGUGAUGAGUUUCUUUAUUGCAAGUGUGGGAGUCCGAUGAUGAUCUUGGCAUAUACAUUGGGGGGGCGUAUUGAACUCCCUUCUUGUCAGUGGCUCAUUUCUAAACGUAUGCACCUCCUCUCCUUUAUGGUAACAAGCAAAGCCGAACCAAACCAUCGAAAUUGCACUCCGGUCCCAUAAGGGUGUCCAAGGCUCGCUUCCAUAGCCUCAUUUUCCAUUGCGGUGACGAUGUUUGGAAAUUGUAAACGGAGUUGGAGAGGAGAGGUGGACCGACUUCUGCAGUUGGGGAGUAUGCACAUACCCUCGACCAAUUGUGCCAUAUAUUUUUGUCCAUCUAUCAAAAUAGUUUUAUUUUUUCAUUUUGAACAGUCCAUUAAAAUUAAUUUUUA